rnacentral:rRNA from 1 species
GUGGGGAAUAUUGGGCAAUGGGGGAAACCCUGACCCAGCAACGCCGCGUGAAGGAAGAAGGUUUUCGGAUCGUAAACUUCUAUCCUUGGUGAAGAUAAUGACGGUAGCCAAGAAGGAAGCCCCGGCUAACUACGUGCCAGCAGCCGCGGUAAUACGUAGGGGGCAAGCGUUGUCCGGAAUGAUUGGGCGUAAAGGGCGCGUAGGCGGCCUGGUAAGUCUGGAGUGAAAGUCCUGCUUUUAAGGUGGGAAUUGCUUUGGAUACUGUCGGGCUUGAGUGCAGGAGAGGUAAGCGGAAUUCCCGGUGUAGCGGUGAAAUGCGUAGAGAUCGGGAGGAACACCAGUGGCGAAGGCGACUUACUGGACUGUAACUGACGCUGAGGCGCGAAAGUGUGGGGAGCAAACAGGAUUAGAUACCCGAGUAGUCC